rnacentral:rRNA from 1 species
UGAAAUCUGGCCCCCGGGUCCGAGUUGUAAUUUGUAGAGGAUGCUUUUGGUGCGGUACCUUCCGAGUUCCCUGGAACGGGACGCCAUAGAGGGUGAGAGCCCCGUCUGGUCGGAUACCAAUCCUCUGUAAAGCUCCUUCGACGAGUCGAGUAGUUUGGGAAUGCUGCUCUAAAUGGGAGGUAUAUGUCUUCUAAAGCUAAAUAUUGGCCAGAGACCGAUAGCGCACAAGUAGAGUGAUCGAAAGAUGAAAAGCACUUUGAAAAGAGGGUUAAACAGUACGUGAAAUUGUUGAAAGGGAAGCGCUUGUGACCAGACUUGGGCCCGGUUAAUCAUCCAGCGUUCUCGCUGGUGCACUUGGCCGGCCCAGGCCAGCAUCAGUUCGGCAUGGGGGAUAAAGGCGGCGGGAAUGUGGCUCCUCCGGGAGUGUUAUAGCCCACCGUGUAAUACCCUGAGCUGGACUGAGGUUCGCGCAUCUGCAAGGAU